CUCCUCUGCUCUGCUACACCUGUCUUUCUUGCUCUACUGCAGCCGUGCCGCCUAUCCAUGUUGCUCAAGAUCUGAUUUACCAGACAAGCAAUUUGCAGAUCCACCUCACCAGGCUAUUACCGGCAGCUACUACAGCAAUCAGCCGUUCACCAUCUCUGAGAACACAAUGUGUAAAAAUACACGGCUAAUACAAUGCAAAGUACCUGUGUAGCAAGGAGUAAUUAACAUUUGGCAGUUAUGAGGGCUGCCAUCAUGCCUGAGCUGUGAUAUAGGCCAUAGAUACAACAGACUGGAGGGGACUCAUUGACUUCUAUGGGAGAGUUUUCUAGGCAUGCUCUGUGACCUGUGCAGAGGCUACAUCAUGUUUGACAUGAAAAAUUAAGUAUUCCGUCAUUAUUAUUCCCUCUGAAAUAACAAACACCAUGACAGAAACCCAAUGAAACCAUUAAAAGUCAGCAGGGUCUGUCAGAUGCCAUGGAAUGUUUAAUGGAAGUUUGAACAGAACCUAACAUGCAUCAGUGCAAAGAAGUACAGAAAAAUGCACAGGCAAUACUGGCAA